CUUAUUUCUUUAAGGCAAGUUUUCAAUUUCACAUGUGUUUGCACAUUCAGAUUUUAGUUUGUAUCUCCUUCUAUAAUACAUUUAUAGGUUUCAAUAAUUCUAUGGGUUCACACUGUCUACACUUGGAACUAUUUUCGUGGACUACGAAAAUCAAGGGAAGGACGAUAACUGUCGGAAAUCAAGGGAAGAUAACUGUACUGGGACCAUAUAAAUAAAUUAAAUAACUUUAAAAUAUUGAUGCAAGACAUAAAAAGUGCAAAAACGUUGAAUGUGUUAAAAAUAAAAUAAUGAGAUGUAUAAUAACAUAGUUUUAAUUUCCCAAA
rnacentral:lncRNA from 1 species